AAUCCAUAGGUUAAUGAGGCGAACCGGGGGAACUGAAACAUCUAAGUACCCCGAGGAAAAGAAAUCAACCGAGAUUCCCCCAGUAGCGGCGAGCGAACGGGGAGGAGCCCAGAGCCUGAAUCAGCAUGUGUGUUAGUGGAAGCGUCUGGAAAGGCGCGCGAUACAGGGUGACAGCCCCGUACACAAAAGCGCAUGUGCUGUGAGCUCGAUGAGUAGGGCGGGACACGUGGUAUCCUGUCUGAAUAUGGGGGGACCAUCCUCCAAGGCUAAAUACUCCUGACUGACCGAUAGUGAACCAGUACCGUGAGGGAAAGGCGAAAAGAACCCCGGCGAGGGGAGUGAAAAAGAACCUGAAACCGUGUACGUACAAGCAGUGGGAGCCCCACCACCAAAGCAUUUGCUGUACCGCGUUGACGGAGCGAAGCGACGUCAAACCGAUAAAACAGCAGUGUAAAGUGAGCCGCAGGGCGCUUUGCGCGACAGCGCAAAGGCAGGCGGUUUCGCGUAGCGAAAGCGAAUGCUUUGGGGUGGGGUGACUGCGUACCUUUUGUAUAAUGGGUCAGCGACUUAUAUUCUGUAGCAAGGUUAACCGAAUAGGGGAGCCGGAGGGAAACCGAGUCUUAAUUGGGCGUUAAGUUGCAGGGUAUAGACCCGAAACCCGGUGAUCUAGCCAUGGGCAGGUUGAAGGUUGGGUAACACUAACUGGAGGACCGAACCGACUAAUGUUGAAAAAUUAGCGGAUGACCUGUGGCUGGGGGUGAAAGGCCAAUCAAACCGGGAGAUAGCUGGUUCUCCCCGAAAGCUAUUUAGGUAGCGCCUCGUGAAUUCAUCUCCGGGGGUAGAGCACUGUUUCGGCUAGG
rnacentral:rRNA from 1 species